rnacentral:rRNA from 2 species
GCCCUAGUAACGGCGAGUGAAGCGGCAACAGCUCANAUUUGAAAUCUGGCUUCGGCCCGAGUUGUAAUUUGUAGAGGAAACUUUUGGUGAGGCACCUUCUGAGUCCCUUGGAACAGGGCGCCAUAGAGGGUGAGAGCCCCGUAUAGUCGGAUGCCGAUCCAAUGUAAAGUUCCUUCGACGAGUCGAGUAGUUUGGGAAUGCUGCUCAAAAUGGGAGGUAAAUUUCUUCUAAAGCUAAAUAUAGGCCAGAGACCGAUAGCGCACAAGUAGAGUGAUCGAAAGAUGAAAAGCACUUUGAAAAGAGGGUUAAAUAGCACGUGAAAUUGUUGAAAGGGAAGCGUUUGUGACCAGACUUGCGCCGUUCCGAUCAUCCGGUGUUCUCACCGGUGCACUCGGGGCGGCUCAGGCCAGCAUCGGUUUUGGUGGGGGGAUAAAGGUUCGGGGAACGUAGCUCCUCCGGGAGUGUUAUAGCCCCGGGCGUAAUGCCCUCGCCGGGACCGAGGUUCGCGCAUCUGCAAGGAUGCUGGCGUAAUGGUCAUCAACGACCCGUCUUGAAACACGGACCAAGGAGUCAAGGUUUUGCGCGAGUGUUUGGGUGUAAAACCCGCACGCGUAAUGAAAGUGAACGUAGGUGAGAGCUUCGGCGCAUCAUCGACCGAUCCUGAUGUAUUCGGAUGGAUUUGAGUAAGAGCGUUAAGCCUUGGACCCGAAAGAUGGUGAACUAUGCUUGGAUAGGGUGAAGCCAGAGGAAACUCUGGUGGAGGCUCGCAGCGGUUCUGACGUGCAAAUCGAUCGUCAAAUCUGAGCAUGGGGGCGAAAGACUAAUCGA